rnacentral:rRNA from 1 species
UACGGAGGGUGCAAGCGUUAUCCGGAUUCACUGGGUUUAAAGGGUGCGUAGGCGGGCAGGUAAGUCAGUGGUGAAAUCUCCGAGCUUAACUCGGAAACUGCCUUUGAUACUAUCUGUCUUGAAUAUGGUGGAGGUAAGCGGAAUAUGUCAUGUAGCGGUGAAAUGCUUAGAGAUGACAUAGAACACCUAUUGCGAAGGCAGCUUACUACGCCUAUAUUGACGCUGAGGCACGAAAGCGUGGGGAUCAAACAGG